rnacentral:rRNA from 1 species
UACGUAGGGCGCAAGCGUUGUCCGGAAUUACUGGGCGUAAAGCGUGUGUAGGCGGUCUCUUAAGUCGGAUGUGAAAGCCCCGGGCUCAACCCGGGAAGUGCACUCGAAACUGGGAGGCUAGAGUACUGGAGAGGUUGGUGGAAUUCUCGGUGUAGAGGUGAAAUUCGUAGAUAUCGAGAGGAACACCGGUGGCGAAGGCGGCCAACUGGACAGAUACUGACGCUGAGACACGAAAGCGUGGGGAGCAAACAGG